CGACGGUACCCAGGGCGCUUCAUCUACUUUGGGCGCCUACAGAACGAAUGCUGACGAUGCCUUGCGCUACCAGGGGAAAACACACCACACGCCGAUGACCGACGAGACUUGCAGUGUCGACGGUGUCACCAACAAUGGCAGCACACGUUGCCAGCACUUGGGGUCCAUCAGGAGCAUCGAUAACGUGAGGCCCAGCACAAGUCGCGCUGGCAUGGAAGAAGCAUC
rnacentral:lncRNA from 1 species